AGCGAACGCUGGCGGCAGGCUUAACACAUGCAAGUCGAGCGGGAACUCUCGGGUAUCUUCGUCGUACGGGUGGGUAACGGGUGGGAACGUGCCAUCUGGUUCGGAAUAACUCAGGGAAACUUGAGCUAAUACCGGAUCCGACCUUUUGAGGACAGGCUUGCUACGGGAGGAUCGGAGCGCGUCUGAUUAGCUAGUUGGUGGGGUAACGGGGUCCCAAGGCGGCGAUUCGUAGCUGGGCUGAGAGAAUGAUCCGCCACACCGUGACUGGGACACGGGCCAGAAUCCUACGGGAGGGAGGAGUGGGGAAUACUGCACUACGGGCGCAGGGCAGAUCCAGCCAGGCUGCGUGAGCGAUGAUGGUCUUAGAGAAGAAAAGCUCUUUUAUCCGGGACGGUAAUGACGGUACCGGAAGAAUAAGCCCCGGCUAACUUCGUG
rnacentral:rRNA from 1 species